GACGAACGCUGGCGGCGUGCUUAACACAUGCAAGUCGAACGGUAAGGCCCUACCUUGCUGGAGUGCUUGAGUGGCGAACGGGUGAGUAACACGUGAGUAACCUGCCCCUGACUCUGGAAUAAGUUCUGGAAACUGCGGCUAAUACUGGAUACGAGACUGUGCCGCAUGGUGGUGGUUGGAAAGGUUUGGCGGUUGGGGAUGGGCUCGCGGCUUAUCAGCUUGUUGGUGGGGUAGUGGCUUACCAAGGCUUUGACGGGUAGCCGGCCUGAGAGGGUGACCGGCCACAUUGGGACUGAGAUACGGCCCAGACUCCUACGGGAGGCAGCAGUGGGGAAUAUUGCACAAUGGGCGGAAGCCUGAUGCAGCAACGCCGCGUGCGGGAUGACGGCCUUCGGGUUGUAAACCGCUUUCGCCUGUGACGAAGCGUGAGUGACGGUAAUGGGUAAAGAAGCACCGGCUAACUACGUG
rnacentral:rRNA from 1 species